CCUAGCUUGCUAGGUGGAUUAGUGGCGCACGGGUGAGUAAUAUAUAGAUAACGUGCCUCUUAGUCUGGGAUAGCCAUUGGAAACGAUGAUUAAUACUAGAUACUCCUUCUAACUCUAAUGUUAGUCGGGAAAGUUUUUCGCUAAGAGAUCGGUCUAUAUCCCAUCAGCUAGUUGGUAGUGUAAGAGACUACCAAGGCAAUGACGGGUAGCGGGUUUGAGAGGAUGAUCCGCCACACUGGUACUGAGACACGGACCAGACUCCUACGGGAGGCAGCAGUGAGGAAUAUUGCACAAUGGAGGAAACUCUGAUGCAGCAACGCCGCGUGGAGGAUGACGCAUUUCGGUGUGUAAACUCCUUUUAUAUGUCAAGAAAAUGACGGUAGCAUAUGAAUAAGCACCGGCUAACUCCGUGCCAGCAGCCGCGGUAAUACGGAGGGUGCAAGCGUUAUCCGGAAUCAUUGGGUUUAAAGGGUCCGCAGGCGGUCAAAUAAGUCAGAGG
rnacentral:rRNA from 1 species